rnacentral:rRNA from 1 species
UACGGAGGAUGCAAGCGUUAUCCGGAUUCAUUGGGUUUAAAGGGUGCGUAGGCGGUCUUUUAAGUCAGUGGUGAAAUCCUGCGGCUCAACCGUAGAACUGCCAUUGAAACUGAAAGACUUGAGUACACUGGAGGUAAGCGGAAUGUGUAGUGUAGCGGUGAAAUGCUUAGAUAUUACACAGAACACCGAUUGCGAAGGCAGCUUACUAUAGUGUCACUGACGCUGAGGUACGAAAGCGUGGGGAGCGAACAGG